rnacentral:rRNA from 1 species
GACGAACGCUGGCGGCGUGCUUAACACAUGCAAGUCGAACGGAAAGGCCCUGCUUUUGUGGGGUGCUCGAGUGGCGAACGGGUGAGUAACACGUGAGUAACCUGCCCUUGACUUUGGGAUAACUUCAGGAAACUGGGGCUAAUACCGGAUAGGAGCUCCUGCUGCAUGGUGGGGGUUGGAAAAUUUCGGCGGUUGGGGAUGGACUCGCGGCUUAUCAGCUUGUUGGUCGGGUAGUGGCUUACCAAGGCUUUGACGGGUAGCCGGCCUGAGAGGGUUACCGGCCACCUUGGUCCUGCGAUACGGCGCAGAAUCCUACGGGAGGCAGCAGUGGAGAAUAUUGCACAAUGGGCGGACGCCUGAUGCAGCAACGCCGCGUUCGUGAUGACGGCUUUCGGGUUGUAAACCGCUGUCGCCUGUGACGAAGCGUGAGUGACGGUAAUGGGUAAAGAAGCACCGGCUAACUACGUG